UACGGGGGGGGCAAGCGUUGUUCGGAAUUACUGGGCGUAAAGGGUUCGUAGGUGGCCAACUCAGUCAGACGUGAAAUCCCUCAGCUUAACUGGGGAACUGCGUCUGAUACUGGAUGGCUUGAGAUUGGGAGAGGGAUGCGGAAUUCCAGGUGUAGCGGUGAAAUGCAUAGAUAUGACAUAGAACACCAAUUGCGAAGGCAGCUGGCUACACAAAUAUUGACGCUGAUGCACGAAAGCGUGGGGAUCAAACAGG
rnacentral:rRNA from 1 species